GAUGAACGCUGGCGGCGUGCCUAAUACAUGCAAGUCGAGCGAACAGAUGAGGAGCUUGCUCCUCUGACGUUAGCGGCGGACGGGUGAGUAACACGUGGAUAACCUACCUAUAAGACUGGGAUAACUUCGGGAAACCGGAGCUAAUACCGGAUAAUAUAUUGAACCGCAUGGUUCAAUAGUGAAAGACGGUUUUGCUGUCACUUAUAGAUGGAUCCGCGCCGCAUUAGCUAGUUGGUAAGGUAACGGCUUACCAAGGCAACGAUGCGUAGCCGACCUGAGAGGGUGAUCGGCCACACUGGAACUGAGACACGGUCCAGACUCCUACGGGAGGCAGCAGUAGGGAAUCUUCCGCAAUGGGCGAAAGCCUGACGGAGCAACGCCGCGUGGUUGAUGAAGGUCUUCGGUUCGUAAAACUCUGUUAUUAGGGAAGAACAAAUGUGUAAGUAACUAUGCACGUCUUGACGGUACCUAAUCAGAAAGCCACGGCUAACUACGUG
rnacentral:rRNA from 1 species